rnacentral:rRNA from 1 species
GAAGCUGGAAUCGCUAGUAAUCGCGAAUCAGAAUGUCGCGGUGAAUACGUUCCCGGGUCUUGUACACACCGCCCGUCCACACCAUGGGAGUCGGAUAUGCCCGAAGUCAGUGACCCAACCAUAUGGAGGGAGCUGCCGAAGGUGGAGCCGAUAACUGGGGUGAAGUCGUAACAAGGUAUC